AUGCUGUUUACCUUGAAAAAUAGAUAAAUUUUCUUCAUUUAAGGCUCGCUGGCUCGUUCACUUGUAAGCUACGAACUCUCGAACCACCCUUUCCUUGCAUAUAUCACAGUGAAAGCGUAAAAUUUAGUAAAGGUAUAUGCUGACGUUUCAAUGUAUGCAUUUACGUGACAGUUUAGCGAAAGUGUCGAGAAGAAUAUAAGUGUCUACUAUUUUUAGUAAAUGUAUUCAUUUAGUAGACAAUGAAAUUGGUAUGUGCAUACAUUAACUAGUAAGUUUCUUGUCCCUGUUUCACGUGCUUACAUGAGAGUUUUCGAGAACCGUUUGCCCACACAGAGAAAAAUGUAUAAUUCAGCGGAGCGGAUAAACACGGUGUUACCUGUGAUCGGAGUCACCUGGCAGUCCGGUCACGAAUUUAUUUCACAACUACAUAACUUUCCUAACGCUUGGAACAGAGUAGCAAAACGAGGAUUGCGAUCUCGGGAUUUGUUUGGAGUCCAAACAUGCAUACAAUAGCGGUUGCUUCGUUAACGUCCGACAAAACGAAGUAAUACAUUUUUCUCGCUGUGAAAAUCUCGUUCUAUUCGUGACAAUGAAUCCACGUGAAUUACCAGUGCGCCCUGUUGCUGAUAUUAUAACCCAGAUUCUAUGUGAAAAAAUAAGUUGAAAGUUUUUCUUCUUGUAUGCUAAUAUUUGUACCUACGUUUGUGCUUAUAAUAUUGGACAACGGGGAACUUGUAGUAAAGCUGGGUACCGAUGUAUCAUCAAUUUUAUUAUUUUUGAAAUUGUUGAGAAUUUUUAUCAUUAUCCAAUACAUAUAUAUAUAAACAUAAUUAACGCGGUUAAUUGUACUUAAUAUUUAAAGUCAGCUCUUCGUAAAAAAGAACUUUGUAUAAAACUUUUUUAUGUUUUUGAUUUAUAUAUGUAGAAUCACCUUUUUUACCUCUUUACGAAAUACUCUGUAUAGUCGAUAUAAAUAAUUUCGACCUUUGACCCUUAUGAAAUGAAAAUUAAUAACCAUACAUAAUAUGCCAUAAAACUUAACACCGAUAUCAGCGGAUAUAUUAGCUGUAAAAAAAAAAACUGAAAAAAGUACCGCCCAGCUACCUUCAGUAUCAGCUUCAAUAAAAAGCAAGAAGGUACGUGAUGUAAACGUAUCUUGCAAGUUACGAAAUCCAAGUACAAAGUCCACGGUACUGCUACGCGAGCCAAGAAAGAAAGACGAAAAGAACAUAGAUCUCGCCAACAAGAAAACACAAUACAACGACUUACUACGUGACUAAAAACUAUAGAGCAAAAAAGAAGAAACUAGAAGGUGAAAGAGUUAGAAACAGAAUGGUUUCGCGAUGUUUAACAACUGCGAAGAGGAAAAUUUGAAAUUUUGCAUGAAGUCGCGUUCGACGACGCGUAUUGCAUGAGAGCGCACGCACACGUGCAACCAAUGCGCCGCGCGGUAUACUCUCACUGUCCUCGGGGACGUUGCUCGAGGACGAGGAUAAAUUUUCCUCUUCGCGCCGAUAUCAAUGAUUUCCCCUCCUCGCGGUGCAACGAGCGACCAGCAAGAAGCGGCGGUCUUUGCGUUCGCGAGCGUUACAGGUUCGUGUUCGCGAAUCGUUAAACUAUUAUAUAAUGCUCUCUCAAAUUGUUCACUGGAACGCUGCGUAUUUUCUGCAAGUAGCGUUUGAGCCGCCGCGCCGCCACAUUGAGGACGAUUUAAGUGUGCAAAUUUUUUUGUUAAAAGAAGUGUUUACUGAUUUCUUUUUAAUUCUUUUUGUAGUAAGAACGUAACACGUAUUUCUAAAUCUUUUUAGAAUUUUAGUAAAUGAUUAUGAAUAUAGGGCGUGGGUUGAGUAUAAUGUUGGAAGUUGGAGAUAUGAAUAUCAUUUUUUUUUUUUUGCGUACAAUGGACUUUCCUAUGACAGCUCUAGGGUAACAGGCCUAAUCCUGAUCCUAAUCCUAACAGUAAUAGAAUCAUUUUUGUUUUUAAUUAGUUAUUUGGAUAACUUUGACCAAAGUUAAUAACAUUUAUUAUAACGCGUACUUCCUUUUUUAUGAUAUCUUUGUUUAUAAUUCUUUUCUGAAGUACUCUGUUUUAUUCUGCAGUUCUUUUUCUUAUUUUAAUUCAAGUAUUAUAAAGAAGAAUUUGUUUCUCGAUAAACUUCUUAAUUAGUGUCAACAUCAAUUAUCAAGUAAAUUAGUUACUUUAUCAGAUAGACGAUGUGAUAACAACCUUUAUUAGAUAAAUUUAUGUACUUAAUAAUAGUUAUAAAACUCAUAUCGUCGAAAAAGAAACGAUCUUUUAAUAUAAUAAAAUUAAUUGUUACGCGUGUGACGCUCGUUAUUAUAUCACGUAUUAAGCGUGAACGAGGCGGUUUGACCGAUCAGUAGCGAAUAUUCAUUCGAAUUCGUUCAACUUAAUUCCUUUUACGGCCGUUGAAAUGUCGCGUGUAGCGCGUUCGCGCGUUCUGCGAAUAAUUCCCUCUUGGUUCUCACGCUGAACGGUUGUUUGUAUUCGGAAAUUGAAACUGACGAAUGAAAACGGUUUUUCUGUUUCGAUUACUUAUUUGUUUAUUUAAUGGAGCUUUUCAAUUUUUGUUUCGUAUUUUCUGAAAUAAUAAGUAAUAUUACAGAAUGCAUAACAAUGUAAAUGUUCAUCUUUUUCUUAACAGAGAUAUUAAUAAAAAUUUCUUCUAUUUCUCUAAAAGUUCAAGAAAAAUCUUUUAAACUACAUACGAACCACAAUAGGAAAAAAAUUGUUUGACGAAGAAAUUGAUUAAAUCGUUUAAUUGUUUCAUUAGUUUUGAACACUCUUAGUUAAUAUCCAUGCAUUUAUGAAACCUUUAAGCCUCCUUUCAAUACGAUAUAAAUUUGUUACAAUGAAAUAAGUCUUCAUAUUAUGUUCCGCUAUCAAAAUUAUAAAAACUCUAUAACAUUGUUCAAGUAAGUUAUAAUUAAGAUACAUUUUUUAUACGCGUUUGCUACGACUUCAUUCCAUUACCGAUUAAUACCAACGCAUUUUUUAUGCGAAGUAUGACACUGCGCGAUUUGUAAAUCUUUCUACAAAAUUUAUAUUACUUAUUGCAAAGUUCAGCCUUCUUCUAUAUAAGUGCACAAUUCAUAGACACAUUUUAUACAACUGAAAGGACGAUAGACAGAACGAUUCGGAUGAACGUCGAAUGAUUAAUAGAUGUAAUCGAAUUUAACGAGGUGUAAAAUAUCGUGAUAUCGGAACGAAAUUAAUCCCGUUAGCACGGCACUUGGUAUCAUUGAACGUCUUGCGAAAAUCCCCUCUGUAUUCGUGCGCGAUAAAUCAUCGUAAUUUCGUGUUUUACGGCGGGCCGUUUCGCGUCGCCGCAUUACGACGACUGGAGGCUGCGCGCGCAAAUCAAAAGACAUUACGUUGUCAAUUGUAACUUAUGUUAAAUUAUAAGCAUCGCACGACGACGGUUUACACGCACUGGAGGCUUUGCCUGCGGGCGUAAAGGCAACACGCGGAGAAAGAUCAAGGAACGAUAAAAUGCAAGUACGCUGUAUUAAAGAUUUGCGCAACGAUCACUGAUCGUGCCAUAUAAGGUCGGCAAAAAAUCUCGAGACUGUGUGUUAGAUCGUAAAAAAACGAAAUUUACAACGUGUAACGUUGAACGUACCGUUUGUUUGUUUAUUACUUUUCUUUCAUAUCGUGAGAAUUUUUAUUGUACUCCGUCCGAAAAGAGAAAAGCGGGAGCUGUAAGCUGAAUAAAACCAUAAUUAUAUAACGAAUCAUUUUAUGAAUGCUAUAUCAUUUAUUAUAGAGAUGUACCUAAUUAAUAAUAACACAAGAAACAUAUGGAAAUUAAUUCUUAAACAAAGUUCGUUCUACACUCUGCAUACAUGUAUUUCAUAACAUUUUAUCGCGGACUACUACUUACUAAAGUACUUUUAAAACAUUUACGAAUUAGAAGAAGUGACGAACAAAUACAAUAAAAAGUAUAUAUAAAGAUUCGAUCCUACGUAACGCUACAUGGAAAUAUUGCCUGAAAAUAUGAUUCAUUGGCAUUGUGACAUCACUAUCGUAGAAUAUCUAAAAUUUUUGCACAAUACCCAACCAAAAUACAUUCACAUUCUAAUUUCAUAAUCACUCAAUAUUUUUACGCAUUCCUGACAUUAAAAACUCUUAAUUAAUCAUCCAUAAUAAACAGAUAGACUAAACUUUCAUCUCUACAGUAUUUCAGAUCGUAAAACAUCGAAUAAUGUUGUUGAAUAGAAGCGAAAAGAGAAGCGAAAAGCGAAGUUCGCAGAAUUUCGUGUCUAUUUAUGGAACAUGUACACUAUAAUGACUAACGCGUAGACGCGUGCAGUUACGAAUAGCUCAAUUAGAUCGUUCUACAUUGUACAGCCGGGCGUAGUAGAGGAAUCGCGUACGCACUGUGAACGUUAUACACAGUGUACGUGAACUCGAGGCGUAGCCCGAGGUCUGCAACGGGUCUUUCGCGGGGCAAAAAAUUCCUGGAAAAAAUAAGGUGCAAUCGCUCCGUGUGGCGAGCUAAAUAUUUUACGCAACGAGGGCACGGAUAACUGUGAUCAGCAUAAUUAGUUUCACGGGUUGCGUUGGCUACGCGGCGCGUUGCCUCGUUGCAUGCUUGUAAAAAGUCAAUCCGAGAAAGGAACAUUAUCAUAAAUCGCUAUCGGGAUACGUUAGGUUGUGAAACAAGCACGGAAGGGGCAAGUUCACCGAGUCGUUAGACGAUGUAAAAAUAGAAUAAUAUUAGGACCUCUUCAGUAAACAGAAGAGGAAAGAAAGAAAACGAUGUUCACGUAUAUUCCAUUCGUAGUUCCCUUCCAUCAAGCGCAGAUGGACUUGGUUGUCAAAGGAAUAUCGAUUUGUUCGAGUUUAACGGUAAACAGAGUUCUAAUGCUCGUAUUUGGUGUAUCAAGGAAUGCAGGAGAGUUCCAAGCCCGAUGUUGGCCGGCGAAAUCGACACACUCGAAUUCGGUAACAAACCCCCGUAUGUUUGAAUUCGAUAUCGAGCAGAAUCGAUUCAUUCAAAUUCGAAGGCAAACAAAUUCGCUAGAGAGCGAGACGGAUGCACUUAAAGCUCGGCAUGAAAAAAAAUCGAUGAGGUCGAAUCGAGGAACAAACGAGACAACCCAUUUGUUCGAUUCGCGCGAAUCCGAUUAAACUACAUUUUUCGAGUAAUUUUCAAAAGACUCGAAGAUUUAAAGUACGUGAUUGCGUUUAUUUAGAAUAUGUCUAUUAUAUACACAUAGAUACUUUCACAAAUACAAGCGAAUAAUGUGACAUUGAAUGUAAUUAAUAUCACUUUUGUGUGACAGCAUUGAAUAAAAUAUUCGCCUUCUCCAUUAACUCAUCAAAAUAAAUGGUUCUGGAUUCUUUGCAUCUACAAUUACUAAAAAUAUUCAAGAGCUUCUGAAAACGUUAAUACCGAGUUUUAUUGAAAUGAGAGCUGGGAACACGUAUUAUACGUACCUGUAUACUUUCGUCGUUUUGCUUUAAUUAAAAUUAGUUAGGUGUGAUAUGUUUAUGUAUGAAUUAUAGAUUAUUAACUCUAGUGUUAAUAUUCGACAUUGACUUUCACGCCUGCAAUAUACACUUAUGUUCACAGCCUGUCCUUUAGUAGUCGGUAUUUCCUGGUUAAAAGUUUCAAAAGUGUCUUUUUGAAAAAUGAGUUAUACAUGUUAUUGGCUUCCUAAUAAUCUUCACCAUAAUCUUGAUCAAUGCGAGAUUCAACGAUAUAUGUAGUUAUAACAAUACAUCGCAACUUAUUUUUACCGCUGUUACAAUCUGGCAAAUAUCUCGUAUCCGCCUUCUAAAUAUCUCAA